rnacentral:tRNA from 1 species
AGCCCCGUAGUUCAGAUGGUCAGAAUAGUCCGUAUUCGGCAGGUUCUUCAGAAGGCUAUACGGAAAGGUCGCGUGUUCGAGUCGCGCCGGGGCUG